CAGAGUAGGCAGAUGAGCGUAAUACCGAGUAUAUUUCUCGGUAUCAGUGCCGAAUGAACGGGGAGUUGUCAUUCGGACGAAAAGGUCUUGUACCUUGCGGUUCAUCUGCCGCAUCCCGCUG
rnacentral:ncRNA from 1 species